AAAUGGAAAGUCCUGGAGCCCCACAGAGAUUUGCUAAUGGAGGCAUGGGUCAGGAAAAGCAGGGACCAAGACUACCAGCACAGCAGCUGUCAUCCAAAGGACCUGGUCCUGCACUUAGGAAGCCUUUGGUUAUUUAAUACCUGUUCUCUAGGAAAAAAUCAUCACCCUUUAAUGGCCUGCUAAAGCCAACGAUAAAACCUGGGAGAGAAAACAGAAGAAAGGGAAAGAAAGCUACAAACAGCCAAAUCCCCAACUGAAGACAUCCUCUGUGGCCUGUCUUCUUUUGUGUGAGUCACGAAGAGAAACCAUCACACAGAAAAAUGUCAUUGAUAUUAAUAGUAGAGCAGAGUAACACAAAACAUUCCCAGUGCAGACAUUUGAAAUUUACUGUCCCUGCGUGUGCCAGGAGCUGCCACCACUUUUGAGCUGCCAUCUCUGCUUCUUUUGGGGGCUUCCCCCAACCCGUCCCAGCAAAAUCAGCUCUACCUCUUCUCUCAUCCUACUGGACUAGUCUGACUUUCUCCUGCUCAUUCAUUCAGGGUAUUUCUGAGCCUGUGGAGGAGCAUGGGGUUCAGCACAGGGUGGUUUCUGUUUAUUUUAGAUAACCCUUUGUGACCUCUGCCUGGUGCCUGUCCUAUUUCAGGACUAUGGUGGUGCUUCAGUAUUGAAAGGUCUUAGACAUUCUCAGAGACUUGGACACUGAGGUCCUCCUAAAUCCUUCUUUAGUCCUAAAUCCUCCUUUAGUCACAAUAAAAUGCUGUAAGUUUUUCUGUGCUGGGGAUUGUUUCUGCCUCUGUUUUUACACUGCCAGAACAAUGGGAUUCAGAUGUGGAGCAAGGCCUGUGGGGACUCCUGUAAUACAAAUAACACAUUAGUAGGACAUGCUGCUGGAAGUGUGAAAACCAGGGUAUGAAAUCCCAGCAGCUGCAUUCCUCUGCUGGUUCUGGCAAACAGAACUCGAUGGCAAACACAGUAAAUGAAUGUAGGAGCACCUGAAGCAAAACUGUGUCAGCCCAAGGGACGUGUAGUGGAAACUGCUGGGCAGCGUGUGCCAAGUCCCUGUCCCCAGUGAGUGCUGAGCUGCCAUUCCCACAUACCUCCCUCGGGCAACAAAGGAGCUGGAUGCCAGGAUUUUUGCUGGCUUGGCAUUACACAAAAGGCCUGUGGGGUGGGUACAAUGGAAUUUAGGCUGGGCACAGAGGCAGCAUGGGUCUCCAACAAACAAUAGCAACAGCGGGAUCAAAACAGCAGGCAGAAAGUGUAUGCACAAUUACCAGAGCAAAACAGCUGAGGCUGCAAGGACAUAACAUCCCCAGCCCUGUCUCCAAGCAGGAUCCCACCUUUGUUAACCUAAGCACCAAGGGAGCAGGCAUGUAUUCAACGUGAUGUGAUGAAUGUUAUCCAAAAAGGAAGGUGAAAAACAGAGGGAUUAACCCGAGGCCAUAAAUUCCAGUCAGUUCCUCCAGGUUGACAUGGCAUUAAACAAGCCAGUGUCCGGACUUCAUCACAUAACCGAGGCACAGGCAUCAGUGUACAGAGAUGUCAGGACAGAAACUCAGGACAGGUGACAGAAUCUGGUAAAGAAAAAAACAGGGAAAUAAACACAAUCGUAUCUGAAUCAUAAGUGCCCAAAUGAGAAACACUGGAGAAGAAACGUACUCUUAUUUGUAAAGAAACCUGGUAAGUUAAUCCUCCCUUUUAGAGGGGAGGAGAGGAGAAGAGGAUAAAAAUUAUUUCUGCUCUCUGUCAUAAUUGAAUAGACCAUAAAAAUAAUAGAUAGUUGAAAACCAGCUAAUUUUUUUUUAGGAUAUUUUCAGGAAGAAAGUUCAGAUCAAAAUAUGACCAUUUAACUUCUUAAUAUUCAUGAGAAAAGCAUCUCCAGGUUUAGAGCUUCUGAAAGGUACGUGCUCUGUAUGAGGUCUGAUGUUUGCCCCACCUUUUUCAUAUUGGCAUUAAGGAGAGAGCGAGAGAUGAGGAUAAAAAAAAUAUUCUAUGGGAAGUAAAAAUUGGAGAUUCAGUUUUUGAUCACAGUAUCAGGGACAUUCUUGUGUGGCCAUCAGAAUUUAGUACACUCAGAUAAUAACUUGCAGAACUGACUCUAUCCUUGGGGAUUUAGGCUGCACUGGUAUUCCACAUUAGAAUAAGAAGACAAAAAAGGAUGGAGAAGAUUUAUUACAUUUUUAUAACUAGCCAAAAUAUUGCACUAAAAUCUUUUCUCCAGCAUGAUUCUUUGGGUCAGAGUUUUCUGCUACAGACAGAAAGAAUAGGUUUGAUGUUGUUGAUACCUUUCCAUAUUUGUCAUGUCUUUUAGAGUUACACCUCUUGUUGUUGCUUCCUCAGGAUAUUGCACAUGAGACGUGCUCCUGAAACUAGAAACCAGCUAAAAACCCAACCUGAAUAAAUGGAGCCUGCUCAAUAAUUAGUCUUCAAGUACUACAUGGAAGCUUGAAUAGGGAAUUGAAUGGGAUUUAAUUCUGGGGAGGCCUGGAAAAUGAAAAGGCCUUCAGUGUAUAUGAAAAAUAGCACAUGCAGCUACUUUCAAACCGUUCUCACUCCUCACAGUGGAGCAGUUCAGGUCUGCCAGCAUGGCACUUCCCAGCUCAACAAGUGACGGACACAGAAUAGCUCUCAGUCCACUCACAGAAAACUGUCAAGACAUAAUGUUCUAUACAUUUCAGAAACAGCUGCCUGGUUUGAUUUUGGACUUAGAUAGCUAGAGGAGAUUUCUAAGUCUGUUCAUGCCACUAUUAAGCAGGAAUUUUUGGAUGGAAAAGGAAAGAGACUUUUACAAUCUUUUUGCAACUUCCACCUUUAUGAUUAUUACAUGUUAAUAUCUCAUUAUAACUUUAAAACUCUCAUUUCAAGUGCUGAGGCCAUGAUCCCUAAAUACAACAGCCAGGAAUUCCCACAAUUUUACCUGGCUUGCAAAGAGAUAAAACAUGAAUAUCUAAAACAGUGCAGAAAUUCCUGAUGUGAGGUAUCAGCUGCUGAUUAGAGAGGAGCAAACCAGAGUCAGGGCAUCAGUGUUCAUCCCUUGUGUUUGAACAUUUGGCCGUGACAUGGAACCAUCUUUCAGCUGGAUCUGGUACAAAAGUGAACGUGACAGACUGAGCAGCAGCUUGGUGCAAGGAGAUGUGGCUGAGGCGUGAGUAACAGUUGCCGAUAAAAGCUAAUGAGCAACUCCUCAGGGCCUACCUGGGACUUACUUCCUGAAAUGGCCUGCAAGUCUCAUCUUGCCAAAUAUCUUUUUAAGUGCAUUAGUGCCUGAUUGCACAAAAAAAAGGUAAAAAAAUUAAUCUAAGAACUGUAAUAGCCAAGAAUACCAGUCUGUCUUGUGGCAGUUUUGUUUGUUUGGUGUUGAUAGAAAGUAAAUUUUUAAAAAAGGGUUUUACUAACAGUUUCUGUGAUACUCUGUGAUGAUAAUUUUUAUGUCAGCAACUGCUGACAAUGCUCCAAAAUCUGUGGAAAUAUUAAAACCUCUUUUUGAUUAGGCAUUGGGGUCAGCACUAAACUUGUUCUUACACCAAGUGAAAAAAGCUCUUACUCAGGUCUGAUCUGCCAUGUGACUCAUCCACUUUUGCCAUUUUCCCAGCAGCUGAAAGGAAAAGUGAAGCAAAGGCUCAUUCUUGAAGAGAGAAGCUGAGCCUGGGCAGGUGGCUCUUUCCAGAGAUUUUUGUGCUGGUGCUGUGCUCAGGAAAGGCAGCAGGAAAAGCUGGGGUAGUCAAUCCAAAGAGAAAUGAACUUACUGAAGACAUGCAGAUACAGCAAGAUGUCUAAACAGACUGACCUGUUAUUAGCAUUUCCCAAUCCACAUUCUUCUGGAAGGAGAAAGGGCCCUAAGCAAUGACAUGUUUGAAGUUUACCUGGCAAGGAAGGAGCUCUUGGACUGAAAUGUGUGUCCACAGAUAAGGUGGGAAAUGAACACUUUCAUGUCUUACGAAACUUGCAAUUUUU